CCUCUCUCAGGAUCACACCUGGAGAACUCCAAGUACUCUACCAGUCUCGACUACAGGAGGGAGAGUCCGGAAGAUGCCUACCCAUUCCAUUCCUAGUUUGGGCAGUGGCUAGCGAGUGGAAGGCAAUCUGCUACAAGU